rnacentral:lncRNA from 1 species
GAGGUUUUUUUGUUAUUAUUUUUUUUUUCCAGAGCUGGGGACCGAACCCAGGGCCUUGCACUCGCUAGGCAAGCGCUCUACCGCUGAGCUAAAUCCCCAACCACGAGGGAGGUUGUUGUUUUCAAACUCAAGCUUGCCGGAUGACAUGGAAGGCUCAGAGCCCGCUGAGUCCCAGCGGGUCCCUGGUUCAGGUUAGUUUUUCCUUCUGAGACGUUUCUGGAGAGGUGAGAAAUCUGUCCAUCUGAGGUCUGCUCUUUGAGAUUCGGUAUCUCACAGAACGAUGAGAACACAGGCUGGGGUGAGGGAAAGGGUAGUUGAGGCAAAGUGAUGGGGGCGUGACCCCAGCCCCUUUGUGUGUGUCAUUUGCACUCAGUGUGACCCGAACUCGCUGGGACUCGGGAGCCCUCGGAACUCUGUGUGUGACUCACGGGGUCAUUCAGUAUCUGGUGUGCAUUGAGUGUGCAGGGUGGGGGUGGGGGAUUAUAUUUAAGACUCUUGUUAGGAAAAGAAACUUGAACUUCACCCUGUGUUACCAGAAAACACAGGAGGGUUUUAAGCAAGAGAAGGAUAUGAUGAUUUUUUUGUUCUGUUUUGUUUUGUUUUUUCUUUUUUUUUCGGAGCUGGGGACCGAACCCAGGGCCUUGCGGUUGCUAGGCAAGCGCUCUACCACUGAGCCAAAUCCCCAAC